UACAGAGGGGGCAAGCGUUGUUCGGAAUCACUGGGCGUAAAGGGUGCGUAGGCGGGUCUUUUAAGUCAGGGGUGAAAUCCUGGAGCUCAACUCCAGAACUGCCUUUGAUACUGAAGAUCUUGAGUUCGAGAGAGGUGAGUGGAACUGCGAGUGUAGAGGUGAAAUUCGUAGAUAUUCGCAAGAACACCAGUGGCGAAGGCGGCUCACUGGCCCGAUACUGACGCUGAGGCACGAAAGCGUGGGGAGCAAACAGG
rnacentral:rRNA from 1 species